rfam:Erinaceus europaeus unplaced genomic scaffold scaffold00740, whole genome shotgun sequence
AAAAAGGCUCUUUUCAGAGCCACCACUUCUAUCAAAAAAGAGCUGU